rnacentral:rRNA from 1 species
UACAGAGGGUGCGAGCGUUAAUCGGAAUUACUGGGCGUAAAGCGUGCGUAGACGGUUACAUAAGUCGGGUGUGAAAGCCCCGGGCUCAACCUGGGAAUUGCAUUCGAGACUGCGUAGCUAGGGUGCGGAAGAGGGAAGCGGAAUUUCCGGUGUAGCGGUGAAAUGCGUAGAUAUCGGGAGGAACACCAGCGGCGAAGGCGACUUUCUGGCUGCUAACUGACGCUGAGACGCGAAAGCUAGGGGAGCGAACGGG